rnacentral:rRNA from 1 species
UACGUAGGUGGCAAGCGUUGUCCGGAUUUACUGGGUGUAAAGGGAGCGCAGGCGGAAAGGCAAGUCAGCUGUGAAAUCUACGGGCUCAACCCGUAAACUGCAGUUGAAACUGUUUUUCUUGAGUGGAGUAGAGGUAAGCGGAAUUCCGAGUGUAGCGGUGAAAUGCGUAGAUAUUCGGAGGAACACCAGUGGCGAAGGCGGCUUACUGGGCUCUAGCUGACGCUGAGCCUCGAAAGUGUGGGGAGCAAAC